rnacentral:rRNA from 1 species
GUGGGGAAUAUUGGACAAUGGGCGAAAGCCUGAUCCAGCCAUGCCGCGUGUGUGAAGAAGGUCUUCGGAUUGUAAAGCACUUUAAGUUGGGAGGAAGGGCAGUAAGUUAAUACCUUGCUGUUUUGACGUUACCGACAGAAUAAGCACCGGCUAACUUCGUGCCAGCAGCCGCGGUAAUACGAAGGGUGCAAGCGUUAAUCGGAAUUACUGGGCGUAAAGCGCGCGUAGGUGGUUUUGUAAGUUGGAGGUGAAAUCCCCGGGCUCAACCUGGGAACUGCCUCCAAAACUGCAUGACUAGAGUACAGUAGAGGGUAGUGGAAUUUCCUGUGUAGCGGUGAAAUGCGUAGAUAUAGGAAGGAACACCAGUGGCGAAGGCGACUACCUGGACUGAUACUGACACUGAGGUGCGAAAGCGUGGGGAGCAAACAGGAUUAGAUACCCUAGUAGUCC